CGGACGGGUGAGUAACGCGUGGAAAACCUGCCGUAUACUGGGGGAUAACACUUAGAAAUAGGUGCUAAUACCGCAUAAGCGCACAGCUUCGCAUGAAGUGGUGUGAAAAACUCUGGUGGUAUACGAUGGUUCCGCGUCUGAUUAGCUUGUUGGUGGGGUAAUGGCUCACCAAGGCGACGAUCAGUAGCCGACCUGAGAGGGUGACCGGCCACAUUGGGACUGAGACACGGCCCAAACUCCUACGGGAGGCAGCAG
rnacentral:rRNA from 1 species